ACCCUUUGUNCNGAUUANUUAGGUUCUCUGACGCCGUGUUGUUUANUCGGGGUGGUCUGGGGGCGUCACUAUUCGUGUGUCCAGGUGUCUUCUGGGACUUGCUGAUGACUAUUGCCGGCGCUUCCUUCGCCUUGGACGUUUUCUUUAACCAAGAAACCAACGUCACGGGAACGCAGACCAUGCUAUACCGUGGCAGACGUCUCCAUCGUUAUGCCGAUAAGGGAACGGGCGGCUUUUCUACUUGACCCGCUAUGCACCUUACUCCAAAUCAAGUUUUUGAGUUCUGGGGCGAGUAUGGCCUAUAUGGUCAGACCUAGNUAAGUUGCCCGAUGGUCACCACAAUGAGUGCAGCCGGCCGCUUACUUGGACUGCCCUUCCGUAAACUCAUUUAGUCCUCACCCUUAAGGAUUGAUCGAUUGAGAGCUCUUUCUCGAUCUUUUGGAUGGUGGUGCAUGGCCGUUCUUAAUUGGUGCACCGAUUUGUCUGCUUAAUUGCGAUAACAAAGUUAACCUCACCACUGAAUCUGAUCGGCCCGCGUCCGCUGGCUGUUGGUCUCUGAUGGGGACUAUCAUCUCAGGCCAAUGCAUUUGCACGACAUUGACAUGUCUAUGAUGCCCUUUUUAUGUCUCUGACCGCUGACGCGCUACACUGCCGAGGACCCCUAGUACAUCACACUGCCGUCCUAGGACCCGGUAAUCUUAGAAACGCAUGUCCUACUCGUAGCCGGC
rnacentral:rRNA from 1 species